rnacentral:rRNA from 1 species
GACGAACCGUGCGAACGUUGUUCGGAAUCACUGGGCUUAAAGGGCGCGUAGGCGGGCUGACAAGUCUGGGGUGAAAUCCCGCGGCUCAACCGUGGAACUGCCUUAGGUACUGUCGGCCUCGAGGAAGGUAGGGGCAUGCGGAACUGUAGGUGGAGCGGUGAAAUGCGUUGAUAUCUACAGGAACUCCGGUGGCGAAAGCGGCGUGCUGGACCUUUUCUGACGCUGAGGCGCGAAAGCUAGGGGAGCAAACGGG